GAUGAACGCUGGCGGCGUGCCUAAUACAUGCAGGUCGAGCGAACGGACGAGAAGCUUGCUUCUCUGAUGUUAGCGGCGGACGGGUGAGUAACACGUGGAUAACCUACCUAUAAGACUGGGAUAACUUCGGGAAACCGGAGCUAAUACCGGAUAAUAUUUUGAACCGCAUGGUUCAAAAGUGAAAGACGGUCUUGCUGUCACUUAUAGAUGGAUCCGCGCUGCAUUAGCUAGUUGGUAAGGUAACGGCUUACCAAGGCAACGAUGCAUAGCCGACCUGAGAGGGUGAUCGGCCACACUGGAACUGAGACACGGUCCAGACUCCUACGGGAGGCAGCAGUAGGGAAUCUUCCGCAAUGGGCGAAAGCCUGACGGAGCAACGCCGCGUGAGUGAUGAAGGUCUUCGGAUCGUAAAACUCUGUUAUUAGGGAAGAACAUAUGUGUAAGUAACUGUGCACAUCUUGACGGUACCUAAUCAGAAAGCCACGGCUAACUACGUGCCAGCAGCCGCGGUAAUACGUAGGUGGCAAGCGUUAUCCGGAAUUAUUGGGCGUAAAGCGCGCGUAGGCGGUUUUUUAAGUCUGAUGUGAAAGCCCACGGCUCAACCGUGGAGGGUCAUUGGAAACUGGAAAACUUGAGUGCAGAAGAGGAAAGUGGAAUUCCAUGUGUAGCGGUGAAAUGCGCAGAGAUAUGGAGGAACACCAGUGGCGAAGGCGACUUUCUGGUCUGUAACUGACGCUGAUGUGCGAAAGCGUGGGGAUCAAACAGGAUUAGAUACCCUGGUAGUCCACGCCGUAAACGAUGAGUGCUAAGUGUUAGGGGAUUCCGCCCCUUAGUGCUGCAGCUAGCGCAUUAAGCACUCCGCCUGGGGAGUACGACCGCAAGGUUGAAACUCAAAGGAAUUGACGGGGACCCGCACAAGCGGUGGAGCAUGUGGUUUAAUUCGAAGCAACGCGAAGAACCUUACCAAAUCUUGACAUCCUUUGACAACUCUAGAGAUAGAGCUUUCCCCUUCGGGGGACAAAGUGACAGGUGGUGCAUGGUUGUCGUCAGCUCGUGUCGUGAGAUGUUGGGUUAAGUCCCGCAACGAGCGCAACCCUUAAGCUUAGUUGCCAUCAUUAAGUUGGGCACUCCAAGUUGACUGCCGGUGACAAACCGGAGGAAGGUGGGGAUGACGUCAAAUCAUCAUGCCCCUUAUGAUUUGGGCUACACACGUGCUACAAUGGACAAUACAAAGGGCAGCGAAACCGUGAGGUCAAGCAAAUCCCAUAAAUUUGUUCUCAGUUCGGAUUGUAGUCUGCAACUCGACUACAUGAAGCUGGAAUCGCUAGUAAUCGUAGAUCAGCAUGCUACGGUGAAUACGUUCCCGGGUCU
rnacentral:rRNA from 1 species